rnacentral:rRNA from 1 species
AUUGAACGCUGGCGGCAGGCCUAACACAUGCAAGUCGAACGAGUGGCGGACGGGUGAGUAAUGUCUGGGAAACUGCCUGAUGGAGGGGGAUAACUACUGUAAACGGUAGCUAAUACCGCAUACCAUCGGAUGUGCCCAGAUGGGAUUAGCUAGUAGGUGGGGUAAAGGUUCACCUAGGCGACGCGCCCUAGCUGGUCUGAGAGGAUGACCAGCCACACUGGAACAGAGACACGGUCCGUAUUCGUAGGGGAGGCAGGAGUGGGAAAUAUUGCACAAUGGGCGCGAGCCUGAUGCAGCCAUGCCGCGUGUAUGAAGAAGGCCUUAGGAUUGUAAAAAACUUUCAGCGGGGAGGCGGUACCCGCAGAAGAAGCACCGGCUAGAUCCGUACCGACAACCGCGGUAAUAC